UUUCUUCGGGGCGAGGUGUGAUUCCUCACCGGCGGUAAAUGCCUUUGGCAUAAGCCCGCGACCGCAGUUUUGCGCUGAUCCGGUGUAAUUCCGGAGCCGACGGUAUAGUCCGGAUGAUAGAAGA
rnacentral:ncRNA from 1 species